rnacentral:rRNA from 1 species
GGUUAAGUGACUAAGCGUACACGGUGGAUGCCUUGGCA